rnacentral:rRNA from 1 species
ACGAACGCCGGCGGCGUGCUUAACCCCUGCAAGUCGCACGGAAAGGCCCUGCUUUUGUGGGGUGCUCGAGUGGCGAACGGGUGAGUAACACGUGAGUAACCUGCCCUUGACUUUGGGAUAACUUCAGGAAACUGGGGCUAAUACCGGAUAGGAGCUCCUGCUGCAUGGUGGGGGUUGGAAAGUUUCGGCGGUUGGGGAUGGACUCGCGGCUUAUCAGCUUGUUGGUGGGGUAGUGGCUUACCAAGGCUUUGACGGGUAGCCGGCCUGAGAGGGUGACCGGCCACAUUGGGACUGAGAUACGGCCCAGACUCCUACGGGAGGCAGCAGUGGGGAAUAUUGCACAAUGGGCGGAAGCCUGAUGCAGCAACGCCGCGUGCGGGAUGACGGCCUUCGGGUUGUAAACCGCUUUCGCCUGUGACGAAGCGUGAGUGACGGUAAUGGGUAAAGAAGCACCGGCUAACUACGUG